CCCCGAUAGCGAAGGCCCAAACAUACGCUAUGGCCCAACCGAGCCUAAAUGGAGUGUGGCCCCUUUUCCACCUCCCUCUCCUACUCGAUCCCUCGCCACUGCUGCCGGCGAUAUUGGCGACGCUCGGGCAGACAGGCGAUCUUCGCAACGCUUAGACUCCGGCAGCGCUCUCCAAGGCCUGCCGUGUAAUUGAUGAUGUUGGACUUUGGAUUAUCAAAGGGCUUAGAUGUGGCAACAUAUGUCGCAGGAGGCUGGUGAUUUAACUUGAAAGCAAUGGUUGUUACAUUCCACAAUCCCAGUGCAGCUUCUAUCCUCGGGAAACUUAAUGAUUGCCUUCUUACACCCGCAGUUAUAUGAAGGUUAUCAAGCUUCAAAGGAUGGCAUUGCUAUGUACAUCGAGCGCACUAGAUGCAGCUCCAUCGUCGGAUCAUAUCAAUGUAGCUAGGAGUCAUACGGGUCAUGCUGUUUGACCUGUAUGAUCUGAUAGUAGAGGCAUCUCUGAGGAAGACAAGGCUGCGAAAAUUAAGACAUCUGCGACUGAGGAGGCCUCGUCCUUUGCUGCUGUUAUUGACAAGUUACAAAUUCAAGCCUGAGCAGCUGAGGAAGAUGUGAUGUGGAUUUGUUUGGAGGCAGCUGAAGAGCGUGGAUCAUCGGCAAAGAAGAAAGAAGGUGAGUUUGAUACAUGUGUUUUGAGUAUUUCAUUCUAUAGUUGUUGAUCGGGUCUCUGUGUUUCAGGAUAUGUAUCCUAAUCAACAACAAUGUUUGUAAUCUUCUAGUUGUACGAACAUGGUUACGUACCUACGCUCUUUCAGUUGUUUUAUUGUCAUCACAAACUUAACAUUCUUAUGGACAGCUGGAGAGUCUUCGGCACUUUAAUAAAGGACCCCUUACCAUGA